UCCUGACCCCCUGAAUGAAGGAGGUCCUGAGCCCCUGAAUGAAGGAGGUCCUGAGCCCCUGAAUGAAGGAGGUCCUGAGCCCCUGAAGGAGGUCCUGACCCCCUGAAUGAAGGAGGUCCUGACCCUCUGAAUGAAGGAGGUCCUGAGCCCCUGAAGGAGGUCCUGACCCCCUGAAUGAAGGAGGUCCUGAGCCCCUGAAUGAAGGAGGUCCUGACCCUCUGAAAGAAGGAGGUCCUGACCCCCUGAACGAAGGAGGUCCUGAGCCCCUGAAGGAGGUCCUGACCCCCUGAAUGAAGGAGGUCCUGAGCCCCUGAAUGAAGGAGGUCCUGAGCCCCUGAAUGAAGGAGGUCCUGAGCCCCUGAAGGAGGUCCGUACCCUCUGAAUGAAGGAGGUCCUGACCCCCUGAAUGAAGGAGGUCCUGAGCCCCUGAAUGAAGGAGGUCCUGAGCCCCUGAAUGAAGGAGGUCCUGAGCCCCUGAAUGAAGGAGGUCCUGAGCCCCUGAAUGAAGGAGGUCCUGAGCCCCUGAAGGAGGUCCUGACCCCCUGAAGGAGGUUCUGACCCCCUGAAGGAGGUUCUGAGCCACUGAAUGAAGGAGGUCCUGAGCCCCUGAAUGAAGGAGGUCCUGAGCCC